UCUGCGGUGCCACGUGUAGCGGUAACAUGCGGGCUUCUAACAUCUGACUCAUUAUGAUAUGAUAGUGUUGAGCCUGAGCCCGGGGUUCGACUCCUCGCCAAGGAA